rnacentral:rRNA from 1 species
CUAAAUACAACUUUCAACAACGGAUCUCUUGGCUCUCGCAUCGAUGAAGAACGCAGCGAAAUGCGAUAACUAAUGUGAAUUGCAGAAUUCAGUGAAUCAUCGAGUCUUUGAACGCACCUUGCGCCCUUUGGCACUCCGAAGGGCAUGCCUGUUUGAGUGUCAGUAACUUCUCAACCUCCCUCACUUUG